rnacentral:tRNA from 16 species
CGGGUGGUAGCGCAGUGGUAGCGCGCUCGGUUCGGGACUGAGAGGUCGGGGGUUCAAAUCCCCCUCGCCCGACCA